AAACUGCUUUUGUAUGCCAAGAAACCUUAGUACGUGUACUAAGCUGACGGUAGCAUACGAAUAAGGAUCGGCUAACUCCGUGCCAGCAGCCGCGGUAAUACGGAGGAUCCAAGCGUUAUCCGGAUUUAUUGGGUUUAAAGGGUCCGCAGGCGGAAAAUUAAGUCAGUGGUGAAAUCCUACAGCUUAACUGUAGAACUGCCAUUGAUACUGAUUUUCUUGAGUACAAAUGAGGUGAGUGGAAUGUGGCGUGUAGCGGUGAAAUGCAUAGAUAUGCCACAGAACACCAAUUGCGAAGGCAGCUCACUAAAAUGUAACUGACGCUGAGGGACGAAAGCGUGGGGAGCGAACGGGAUUAGAUACCCCGGUAGUCCACGCCGUAAACGAUGAUCACUCGAUGUUGGCGAUAUACUGUCAGUGUCUGAGCGAAAGCAUUAAGUGAUCCACCUGGGGAGUACGAUCGCAAGAUUGAAACUCAAAGGAAUUGACGGGGGCCCGCACAAGCGGUGGAGCAUGUGGUUUAAUUCGAUGAUACGCGAGGAACCUUACCUAGGCUUAAAUGUAGAUUGACGUAUUGGGAAACCAGUAUUUCUUCGGACAAUCUACAAGGUGCUGCAUGGUUGUCGUCAGCUCGUGCCGUGAGGUGUCGGGUUAAGUCCCAUAACGAGCGCAACCCCUAUCAUUAGUUGCUAACAUUCAGUUGAGGACUCUAAUGAAACUGCCCGCGUAAGCGGUGAGGAAGGUGGGGAUGACGUCAAAUCAUCACGGCCCUUACGUCUAGGGCUACACACGUGCUACAAUGGUAACUACAGAGGGAAGCUAUCUGGUGACAGUGAGCAAAUCCUUAAAAGUUAUCCCAGUUCGGAUUGAAGUCUGCAACUCGACUUCAUGAAGUUGGAAUCGCUAGUAAUCGGAUAUCAGCCAUGAUCCGGUGAAUACGUUCCCGGGCCUUGUACACACCGCCCGUCAAGCCAUGGAAGUUGGGGGCGCCUGAAGUCGGUAACCGCAAGGAGCCGCCUAGGGUGAAACUAAUAACUGGGGCUAAGUCGUAACAAGGUAGCCGUACCGGAAGGUGUGGCUGGAACAACUCCUUUUU
rnacentral:rRNA from 1 species